CCCUUAGAUGUUCUGGGAUGCACGCGCGUUACACUGAUUCGUUCAACGAGUUUAUGACCUUGCCUGAUGAGGUGGGGGAAUCUUUUCAAAUCGCAUCGUGAUGGGGAUAGAGUAUUGUAACUGUUAGUCUUCAACGAGGAAUUCCUAGUAAGUACGUGUCGUCAGCUCGUACUGAUUAUGUCCCUGCCCUUUGUACACACCGCCCGUCGCUCCUACCGAUUGAGUGCUCAGGUGAAUAGUAUGGACUGCAUCAGUGUUCGGUCUCCGAAUGUUGACGCGAGAAAUUCUGUGAAUCUUAUUGCUUAGAGGAAGGAGAAGUCGUAACA
rnacentral:rRNA from 1 species